GCAGGCUCGCGCUUGAAUACAUUAGCAUGGAAUAAUGAAAUAGGACGUUUGAUCCUAUUUUGUUGGUUUCUAGGAUUGACGUAAUGAUUAAUAGGGAUAGUUGGGGGCAUUAGUAUUCAAUUGUCAGAGGUGAAAUUCUUGGAUUUAUUGAAGACUAACUACUGCGAAAGCAUUUGCCAAGGAUGUUUUCAUUAAUCAAGAACGAAAGUUAGGGGAUCGAAGACGAUCAGAUACCGUCGUAGUCUUAACCAUAAACUAUGCCGACUAGGGAUCGGAUGAUGUUAAUUUUUUAAUGACUCAUUCGGCGCCUUACGGGAAACCAAAGUGUUUGGGUUCUGGGGGGAGUAUGGUCGCAAGGCUGAAACUUAAAGGAAUUGACGGAAGGGCACCACCAGGCGUGGAGCCUGCG
rnacentral:rRNA from 1 species